UACGGAAGGCAGCAGUGGGGAAUAUUGCACAAUGGGCGAAAGCCUGAUGCAGCUAUGCCGCGUGUAUGAAGAAGGCCUUAGGGUUGUAAAGUACUUUCAUCGGGGAGGAAAAACAAAACUAAUAAUUUUAUUUCUUGACGUUACCCGAAAAAGAAGCACCGGCUAACUCCGUGCCAGCAGCCGCGGUAAUACGGAGGGUGCUAGCGUUAAUCAGAAUUACUGGGCGUAAAGGAGCACGUAGGUUGGUUUUUUAAGUCAGAUGUGAAACUCCCGUGGGCUUAACCUAGGAACUGCAUUUUGAAACUGAAAUACUAGAGUAUCGUAGAGGGAGGUAGAAUUCUAGGUGUAGCGGUGAAAUGCGUAGAUAUCUGGAGGAAUACCUGUGGCGAAAGCGGCCUCCUAAACGAAUACUGACACUGAGGUGCGAAAGCGUGGGGAGCAAACAGGGAUUAGAUA
rnacentral:rRNA from 1 species